CAGCAGCCGCGGGAAUACGUAGGGUGCAAGCGUUAAUCGGAAUUACUGGGCGUAAAGCGUGCGCAGGCGGUUAUAUAAGUCAGAUGUGAAAUCCCCGGGCUCAACCUGGGAACUGCAUUUGAGACUGUAUGGCUAGAGUGUGUCAGAGGGGGGUAGAAUUCCACGUGUAGCAGUGAAAUGCGUAGAUAUGUGGAGGAAUACCGAUGGCGAAGGCAGCCCCCUGGGAUAACACUGAUGCUCAUGCACGAAAGCGAGGGGAGCAAACAGGAUUAGAUACCCCCGUAGUCCCUGUCUCUUAUAC
rnacentral:rRNA from 1 species